GACGAACGCUGGCGGCGUGCUUAACACAUGCAAGUCGAACGGAAAGGCCCUGCUUUUGUGGGGUGCUCGAGUGGCGAACGGGUGAGUAACACGUGAGUAACCUGCCCUUGACUUUGGGAUAACUUCAGGAAACUGGGGCUAAUACCGGAUAGGAGCUCCUGCUGCAUGGUGGGGGUUGGAAAGAUUCGGCGGUUGGGGAUGGACUCGCGGCUUAUCAGCUUGUUGGUGGGGUAGUGGCUUACCAAGGCUUUGACGGGUAGCCGGCCUGAGAGGGUGACCGGCCACAUUGGGACUGAGAUACGGCCCAGACUCCUACGGGAGGCAGCAGUGGGGAAUAUUGCACAAUGGGCGGAAGCCUGAUGCAGCAACGCCGCGUGCGGGAUGACGGCCUUCGGGUUGUAAACCGCUUUCGCCUGUGACGAAGCGUGAGUGACGGUAAUGGGUAAAGAAGCACCGGCUGACUACGUG
rnacentral:rRNA from 1 species